rnacentral:rRNA from 1 species
AUUGAACGCUGGCGGCAUGCCUUACACAUGCAAGUCGAACGGUAACAGGUCUUCGGAUGCUGACGAGUGGCGAACGGGUGAGUAAUACAUCGGAACGUGCCCGAUCGUGGGGGAUAACGAAGCGAAAGCUUUGCUAAUACCGCAUAAGAUCUACGGAUGAAAGCAGGGGACCGCAAGGCCUUGCGCGAACGGAGCGGCCGAUGGCAGAUUAGGUAGUUGGUGGGAUAAAAGCUUACCAAGCCAACGAUCUGUAGCUGGUCUGAGAGGACGACCAGCCACACUGGGCCUGGGACACGGCCCAGACUCCUACGGGAGGCAGCAGUGGGGAAUUUUGGACAAUGGGCGAAAGCCUGAUCCAGCCAGGCCGCGUGCAGGAUGAAGGCCUUCGGGUUGUAAACUGCUUUUGUACGGAACGAAAAGACUCUGGUUAAUACCUGGGGUCCAUGACGGUACCGUAAGAAUAGGCACCGGCAAACUACGU